rnacentral:rRNA from 1 species
AUUGAACGCUGGCGGCAGGCCUAACACAUGCAAGUCGAGCGGAUGAAGGGAGCUUGCUCCUGGAUUCAGCGGCGGACGGGUGAGUAAUGCCUAGGAAUCUGCCUGGUAGUGGGGGAUAACGUCCGGAAACGGGCGCUAAUACCGCAUACGUUCUGAGGGAGAAAGUGGGGGAUCUUCGGACCUCACGCUAUCAGAUGAGCCUAGGUCGGAUUAGCUAGUUGGUGGGGUAAAGGCCUACCAAGGCGACGAUCCGUAACUGGUCUGAGAGGAUGAUCAGUCACACUGGAACUGAGACACGGUCCAGACUCCUACGGGAGGCAGCAGUGGGGAAUAUUGGACAAUGGGUGAAAGCCUGAUCCAGCCAUGCCGCGUGUGUGAAGAAGGUCUUCGGAUUGUAAAGCACUUUAAGUUGGGAGGAAGGGCAGUAAGUUAAUACCUUGCUGUUUUGACGUUACCAACAGAAUAAGCACCGGCUAACUUCGUG